rnacentral:lncRNA from 1 species
CCUUUUUAGGCACCUAAUCUGAGAUUCAAUAUUUGGUUUCGCCUUCAACAUUGCUCUUGGUAAAGCCUUUUCUAGCAUUUUCUCUAGCUCGUUCAAAUAACCGGCUUUGAACCCGGUAUCAGCAUUAAAUGUUCCUACAUUGUGCAAAUCCACCAUGCAAGAAACCAAGGCUGCAUCUUCUUCUGGAACCCAUUUUCUUUUGCUUCCUCGAGAAGCUUGA